UACGGAGGAUCCGAGCGUUAUCCGGAUUUAUUGGGUUUAAAGGGUGCGCAGGCGGAAUAUUAAGUCGGCGGUGAAAGUUUGCAGCUUAACUGUAAAAUUGCCGUUGAUACUGGUAUUCUUGAGUGUAUAUGAAGUAGGCGGAAUUUGUAGUGUAGCGGUGAAAUGCAUAGAUAUUACAAGGAACUCCGAUUGCGAAGGCAGCUUACUAAAAUACAACUGACGCUCAGGCACGAAGGCGUGGGGAUCAAACAGGAUUAGAUACCCGGGUAGUCCCUGA
rnacentral:rRNA from 1 species